AAAAUUCACAUCUUCUCAGAAAAAUAUUAAUAGGAAACAUCAUAGAGUUAGUGGCAUGUUUGGUAGUUUCUCUACGUCACUUUGAGUACAUCAAGAUUAUUGACAAAUCUACUGCUAAAACCAUUUUUAAACCCUAUGUUCUACAUUCAAAGGAAAUCAAAAACUAAAGGAAUUGGAAAAAAAAGAAAACAAAUACUACAAAAUUAAAUGCAAGAGUACGAGAGAGAGAGAG
rnacentral:lncRNA from 1 species